AGAGUUUGAUCCUGGCUCAGGAUAAACGCUGGCGGCGUGCAUAACACAUGCAAGUCGAACGAUGAACCUUAUUAGAUUUCUUCGGAAUGAAAAUAAGUGGAUUAGUGGCGAACGGGUGAGUAACACGUGAGUAACCUGCCUUACACAAGGGGAUAGCCUUUGGAAACGAAGAAUAAUACCCUAUAAAGUUAGUCAAUCGCAUGGUAGACUAACCAAAGAUUUAUCGGUGUAAGAUGGACUUGCGUCUGAUUAGCUAGUUGGUGAGAUAAAAGCCCACCAAGGCGACGAUCAGUAGCCGGCUUGAGAGAGUGUACGGCCACAUUGGGACUGAGACACGGCCCAAACUCCUACGGGAGGCAGCAGUGGGGAAUUUUGCACAAUGGGGGAAACCCUGAUGCAGCGACGCCGCGUGAUUUAGAAGGCCUUCGGGUUGUAAAAAUCUUUUUUAUGGGAUGAAAAUGACAGUACCAUAAGAAUAAGGUCCGGCUAAAUACGUGCCAGCAGCCGCGGUAAUACGUAUGGACCGAGCGUUGUCCGGAAUCAUUGGGCGUAAAGGGUACGUAGGCGGCCUAGUAAGUUAGAAGUGAAAUAAUAUAGCUCAACUAUAUAAAGCUUUUAAAACUGUUAGGCUUGAGAGAUGAAAGGGAAAGUGGAAUUCCUAGUGUAGCGGUGAAAUGCGCAGAUAUUAGGAAGAAUACCGGUGGCGAAGGCGACUUUCUGGUCAUCAUCUGACGCUGAGGUACGAAAGCGUGGGUAGCAAACAGGAUUAGAUACCCUGGUAGUCCACGCUGUAAACGAUGAGUGUUAGGUUCUUGGAAUAAUCUGGGAGCCGCAGCUAACGCAUUAAACACUCCGCCUGGGGAGUACGCACGCAAGUGUGAAACUCAAAGGAAUUGACGGGGACCCGCACAAGCAGCGGAGCAUGUGGUUUAAUUCGAUGCAACGCGAAGAACCUUACCAAGUCUUGACAUAAUACGGAGGGAGUUAGAGAUAAUUCCUUAUCACUUCGGUGAGCUGUAUUACAGGUGGUGCAUGGUUGUCGUCAGCUCGUGUCGUGAGAUGUUGGGUUAAGUC
rnacentral:rRNA from 1 species